rnacentral:rRNA from 1 species
UACGGAGGAUGCGAGCGUUAUCCGGAUUUAUUGGGUUUAAAGGGUGCGUAGGCGGGUUAUCAAGUCAGCGGUAAAAUCGUGGAGCUCAACUCCAUCCAGCCGUUGAAACUGAUGAUCUUGAGUGGGCGAGAAGUAUGCGGAAUGCGUGGUGUAGCGGUGAAAUGCAUAGAUAUCACGCAGAACUCCGAUUGCGAAGGCAGCACACCGGCGCCCUACUGACGCUGAGGCACGAAAGCGUGGGUAUCGAACAGG